ACACAACGAGCAUUUCGGCGAGCAUUUAGCCGAAGAUAUUAAGCAGUGCUUUAAGACAAACGCACACCCAGACACCUCCCCUGAAACCCUAUGGCUAGCACAUAAGCCAGUAAUCAGAGGACUGAUCAUAGGGAAAACCAGUGCGUUAAAACAGAAAUUACAAGCACAAUUAAAGAGACACUUGACAGCCCUCUACCGCCUCAAUAAACAAAACCCACUGACCCCAACACCACUGUUAAAAACACAAAUAAAAGAGAAGUUAGAAGAAAUCAGGAAACACGACCUGGCAAAGAUGGGAUUUAGCCUUAG